rnacentral:rRNA from 1 species
GACGAACGCUGGCGGCGUGCCUAAUACAUGCAAGUAGAACGCUGAAGGAGGAGCUUGCUUCUCCGGAUGAGUUGCGAACGGGUGAGUAACGCGUAGGUAACCUGCCUGGUAGCGGGGGAUAACUAUUGGAAACGAUAGCUAAUACCGCAUAAGAGUAGAUGUUGCAUGACAUUUGCUUAAAAGGUGCAAUUGCAUCACUACCAGAUGGACCUGCGUUGUAUUAGCUAGUUGGUGGGGUAACGACUCACCAAGGCGACGAUACAUAGCCGACCUGAGAGGGUGAUCGGCCACACUGGGACUGAGACACGGCCCAGACUCCUACGGGAGGCAGCAGUAGGGAAUCUUCGGCAAUGGACGGAAGUCUGACCGAGCAACGCCGCGUGAGUGAAGAAGGUUUUCGGAUCGUAAAGCUCUGUUGUAAGAGAAGAACGAGUGUGAGAGUGGAAAGUUCACACUGUGACGGUAUCUUACCAGAAAGGGACGGCUAACUACGUGCCAGCAGCCGCGGUAAUACGUAGGUCCCGAGCGUUGUCCGGAUUUAUUGGGCGUAAAGCGAGCGCAGGCGGUUAGAUAAGUCUGAAGUUAAAGGCUGUGGCUUAACCAUAGUACGCUUUGGAAACUGUUUAACUUGAGUGCGAGAGGGGAGAGUGGAAUUCCAUGUGUAGCGGUGAAAUGCGUAGAUAUAUGGAGGAACACCGGUGGCGAAAGCGGCUCUCUGGCUUGUAACUGACGCUGAGGCUCGAAAGCGUGGGGAGCAAACAGG